GAUGAACGCUGGCGGCGUGCCUAAUACAUGCAAGUCGAGCGAAUGGAUUAAGAGCUUGCUCUUAUGAAGUUAGCGGCGGACGGGUGAGUAACACGUGGGUAACCUGCCCAUAAGACUGGGAUAACUCCGGGAAACCGGGGCUAAUACCGGAUAACAUUUUGAACCGCAUGGUUCGAAAUUGAAAGGCGGCUUCGGCUGUCACUUAUGGAUGGACCCGCGUCGCAUUAGCUAGUUGGUGAGGUAACGGCUCACCAAGGCAACGAUGCGUAGCCGCCCUGAGAGGGUGAUCGGCCACACUGGGACUGAGACACGGCCCAGACUCCUACGGGGGGCAGCAGUAGGGAAUCUUCCGCAAUGGACGAAAGUCUGACGGAGCAACGCCGCGUGAGUGAUGAAGGCUUUCGGGUCGUAAAACUCUGUUGUUAGGGAAGAACAAGUGCUAGUUGAAUAAGCUGGCACCUUGACGGUACCUAACCAGAAAGCCACGGCUAACUACGUGCCAGCAGCCGCCGUAA
rnacentral:rRNA from 1 species